UACGGGGGGGGCUAGCGUUGUUCGGAAUUACUGGGCGUAAAGGGCGCGUAGGCGGCCUACUAAGUCGGACGUGAAAUCCCUCGGCUCAACCGAGGAACUGCAUCCGAUACUGGCGGGCUUGAAUCCGGGAGAGGGAUGUGGAAUUCCAGGUGUAGCGGUGAAAUGCGUAGAUAUCUGGAGGAACACCGGUGGCGAAGGCGGCAUCCUGGACCGGCAUUGACGCUGAGGCGCGAAAGCCAGGGGAGCAAACGGG
rnacentral:rRNA from 1 species